CCUACGGGGUGCAGCAGUGGGGAAUAUUGGGCAAUGGGCGCAAGCCUGACCCAGCAACGCCGCGUGAAGGAAGAAGGCUUUCGGGUUGUACACUUCUUUUCUCAGGGACGAAGCAAGUGACGGUACCUGCGGAAUAAGCCACGGCUAACUACGUGCCAGCAGCCGCGGUAAUACGUAGGUGGCAAGCGUUAUCCGGAUUUACUGGGUGUAAAGGGCGUGUAGGCGGGGACGCAAGUCAGAUGUGAAACCCACGGGCUCAAACUGUGGCCUGCAUUUGAAACUGUGUUUCUUGAGUACUGGAGAGGCAGACGGAAUUCCUAGUGUAGCGGUGAAAUGCGUAGAUAUUAGGAGGAACACCAGUGGCGAAGGCGGUCUGCUGGACAGCAACUGACGCUGAGGCGCGAAAGCGUGGGGAGCAAACAGGAUUAGAUACCCUUGUAGUC
rnacentral:rRNA from 1 species